rnacentral:lncRNA from 1 species
UGUGUGUGUGUGUGUGUGUGUGUGUUAUGUCCCUCUCCACAUAUGGUAAAUAUGGUUCGGGCAGAGAGAGAGAGAUAGAUGGAUGAAAGAGAGAGAGAGAAAGGAUGAGACGGGGGGGGUAGAAAGGGAUUAGAAAGAGAUGGGGACCAGAGAGAUGGGGAUCAGAGAGGGGGAAUCAGAGAGGUGGGGACCAGAGAGGUUGGAUCAGAGAGGUGGGGACCAGAGAGAUGGGGACCAGAGAGAUGGGGAUCAGAGAGGUGGGAUCAGAGAGAUGGGAUCAGAGAGAUGGGGAUCAGAGAGAUGGGAUCAGAGAGAUGGGGAUCAGAGAGAUGGGGACCAGAGAGGUGGGGACCAGAGAGAUGGGGACCAGAGAGGGGGAAUCAGAGAGAUGGGAUCAGAGAGGUGGGAUCAGAGAGGUGGGAUCAGAGAGAUGGGAUCAGAGAGAUGGGGACCAGAGAGAUGGGGAUCAGAGAGAUGGGGACCAGAGAGGUGGGAUCAGAGAGGUGGGGACCAGAGAGAUGGGGAUCAGAGAGAUGGGGACCAGAGAGAUGGGGACCAGAGAGGUGGGAUCAGAGAGGUGGGAUCAGAGAGAUGGGAUCAGAGAGGUGGGAUCAGAGAGGUGGGAUCAGAGAGAUGGGAUCAGAGAGAUGGGGAUCAGAGAGGUGGGGACCAGAGAGGUGGGGACCAGAGAGGUUGGACCAGAGAGAUGGGGACCAGAGAGGUGGGGAUCAGAGAGGGUGGGAUCAGAGAGGUGGGAUCAGAGAGAUGGGAUCAGAGAGGUGGGAUCAGAGAGAUGGGAUCAGAGAGGUGGGGACCAGAGAGGUGGGGACCAGAGAGGUGGGGACCAGAGAGGUGGGGAUCAGAGAGGUGGGAUCAGAGAGGUGGGAUCAGAGAGAUGGGAUCAGAGAGGUGGGAUCAGAGAGAUGGGAUCAGAGAGGUGGGGACCAGAGAGGUGGGGACCAGAGAGGUUGGACCAGAGAGAUGGGGACCAGAGAGGUGGGGAUCAGAGAGGGUGGGAUCAGAGAGGUGGGAUCAGAGAGAUGGGGAAUCAGAGAGGUGGGAUCAGAGAGAUGGGGAAUCAGAGAGGUGGGGACCAGAGAGGUGGGGACCAGAGAGAUGGGGACCAGAGAGAUGGGGACCAAAGGGUGGCUGAUGCAGGGAGGGAGGGGUGGGAUGAGGGAAAGAGAGGGUGAUGAGUCACUCGCUUCCUCAGUCGCUCUGUCUCCAAACACCAGAUGGACCAGCCUGAUGAGGAGUGAAGGGACAUGAAGAUCUAGAUAAUAAAUGUCCUGUACCAACAAGACUCCAACAGAGUGUGUUUACUGUUAGAUAAUGACUGUACUGUACCAAAAAGACUCCGACAGGAUGAGUGAAAAAAACAGAGAGUGUGUUUACUGUUAGAGAAUACUUUUGAUCCUCUGUUGGAUGCAAUGUCUGUACGGACAUUGCACAGAUAAUGUGUGUGUGUGUGUGUGUGCCGUAAUUUGAGUCCUCAGGGCUGGCAUUGUGGCUCGACCGCUGUGGCGGCGUGGCUCUCGUGCGAGGCUGGACAGUCAUCGGAUUGACGGUACGGCAGAAGAAUGUUUGUG